rnacentral:rRNA from 1 species
UACGUGGGGUGCGAGCGUUGUUCGGAAUUACUGGGCGUAAAGCGUGUGCAGGCGGCCUGUUAAGUCCGAUGUGAAAUCCCUGGGCUCAACCCAGGAAUUGCAUUGGAAACUAGCGGGCUGGAGUUCGGGAGAGGGUAGUGGAAUUCCUGGUGUAGAGGUGAAAUUCGUAGAUAUCAGGAGGAACACCGGUGGCGAAGGCGGCUACCUGGACCGAUACUGACGCUGAUACACGAAAGCGUGGGGAGCAAACAGG